rnacentral:sRNA from 1 species
AAAUUGAAGAGUUUGAUCAUGGCUCAGAUUGAACG